rnacentral:lncRNA from 1 species
GUUUAAUUAGGCAGGUAGCUGGGAAGAGACCAUUGAAGUUCUGUUCGGGUUGCUCCCAUUCUCUCACUGAAAGGGGCAGUGGUGUCAUUAGCCAAGGGAGGGAGGUGUGGAGUGGGGUGGAAGAGUUGGAAGAAGUUUAAAAGGGACAGAGAAGAGGAGCAGAUGAGUAGAUGGCUCCCUCGUGUAAAGUAACGAAUGGUUUAGCUUGAUGACGUGCGUGGGUGCGUGCGUGCGUGAGCGCGCGCACGUACGUGUGUGUAUCGGGGAGAGGAGAGGGAAGAUACGCAGAAGAGGAGCAAGAAGGGACCCCGUCUCGUCUCCAGGCCCAGAAAGAUAAGCUACCGCCGAGAAAACACUAGACAAGAGGCCUAACUGGAGCACAGAGGGGAUAGGCACAUUUGUGAGCAUUUGCAAGGAAAGCCUCAUGUAAUCAUUUACAAGUGAACCAGAAUGAACUACCUCCGACUGCGCCCUCUGAGCUGACAACCAUCCUCACAAUGGCAAUGAGAGAGAGCUGUCUUCCUGGUUCAGAGGUGGUUGUUUUUGCUGUGGCCCACAUAAGAGGUGGAGGAGUUCUGCAGACCCUGUUCAUGAAGGUUCCAUCUUUACAACUAACCCUCACCCAAGGCCCUACUUCCAAAUCCCAGCAGAGCGGAGACUGGAUUUUAACAGGAAUGAAUCAGGUCCAAAGCCCCUCCCACCAGCUCAGGUCAUCUCUGGCUACCAAAUGCAUUUCGGUUACAAGGUUAACAUCAGCUAAGCUUUUGAUUUUCACAAUUUUCACAUCUCCGACCUGUGAAUAA